UACGUAGGGUGCGAGCGUUAAUCGGAAUUACUGGGCGUAAAGCGUGCGUAGGCGGUCGGCAAAGUCAGCUGUGAAAGCCCCGGGCUUAACCUGGGAAUGGCGGUUGAAACUAGUCGACUCGAAUCUGGCAGAGGGGGGUGGAAUUCCACGUGUAGCAGUGAAAUGCGUAGAGAUGUGGAGGAACACCGAUGGCGAAGGCAGCCCCCUGGGCUGAGAUUGACGCUCAGGCACGAAAGCGUGGGGAGCAAACAGG
rnacentral:rRNA from 1 species